UACGGAGGAUCCGAGCGUUAUCCGGAUUUAUUGGGUUUAAAGGGUGCGUAGGCGGUUUGAUAAGUUAGAGGUGAAAUGUCGGGGCUCAACCCCGGAACUGCCUCUAAUACUGUUGGACUAGAGAAUAGUUGCGGUAGGCGGAAUGUAUGGUGUAGCGGUGAAAUGCUUAGAGAUCAUGCAGAACACCGAUUGCGAAGGCAGCUUACCAAACUAUAUCUGACGUUGAGGCACGAAAGCGUGGGUAGCAAACAGG
rnacentral:rRNA from 1 species